CUACGGGCGGCUGCAGUGGGGAAUAUUGCACAAUGGAGGAAACUCUGAUGCAGCAACGCCGCGUGGAGGAUGACACUUUUCGGAGCGUAAACUCCUUUUAUAUAGGAAGAAGAUGACGGUACUAUAUGAAUAAGCGCCGGCUAACUCCGUGCCAGCAGCCGCGGUAAUACGGAGGGCGCAAGCGUUACUCGGAAUCACUGGGCGUAAAGAGCGUGUAGGCGGACUAAAAAGUCAGAAGUGAAAUCCUAUAGCUUAACUAUAGAACUGCUUCUGAAACUCUUAAUCUAGAAUAUGGGAGAGGUAGAUGGAAUUUCUGGUGUAGGGGUAAAAUCCGCAGAGAUCAGAAGGAAUACCGAUUGCGAAGGCGAUCUACUAGAACAUUAUUGACGCUGAGACGCGAAAGCGUGGGGAGCAAACAGGAUUAGAUACCCCUGUAGUC
rnacentral:rRNA from 1 species